rnacentral:tRNA from 1 species
GUCGUCGUGGCCGAGUGGUUAAGGCGAUGGACUCGAAAUCCAUUGGGGUUUCCCCGCACAGGUUCGAAUCCUGUCGGCGACG